rnacentral:rRNA from 1 species
AUUGAACGCUGGCGGCAUGCCUUACACAUGCAAGUCGAACGGCAGCACGGGAGCAAUCCUGGUGGCGAGUGGCGAACGGGUGAGUAAUGUAUCGGAACGUGCCCAGUCGUGGGGGAUAACGUAGCGAAAGCUACGCUAAUACCGCAUACGAUCUAUGGAUGAAAGCGGGGGACCGUAAGGCCUCGCGCGAUUGGAGCGGCCGAUAUCAGAUUAGGUAGUUGGUGGGGUAAAGGCCUACCAAGCCGACGAUCUGUAGCUGGUCUGAGAGGACGACCAGCCACACUGGGACUGAGACACGGCCCAGACUCCUACGGGAGGCAGCAGUGGGGAAUUUUGGACAAUGGGCGCAAGCCUGAUCCAGCAAUGCCGCGUGCAGGAUGAAGGCCUUCGGGUUGUAAACUGCUUUGUACGGAGCGAAAAGGCUCUCUCUAAUACAGGGGGCUCAUGACGGUACCGUAAGAAUAAGCACCGGCUAACUACGUGCCAGCCGCCGCGGUAAGAC